GGCACUCUGUCUGGCUGCAGCUGAUGUGAGGAAGUAUCUUAGCCAGGGUCAACACAUGUAAAGUUGUGGGACCUGAUAACACACCUGGUCAGGUGCUGAGAAGGAGAGGCUGUGCAAACCAGUUAACAGAGGUUCUACACACAUCAUCAACGUCUCUCUGGAACAGCCUACUGUCCCUGUAGGAUUCAAGGCAGCCACUAUCUUCAUGGUGACAAAGAAGGCGACAGUAACCUGCCUUAAUGACUGCUGUCCAGUGGUACUGAUUUGAUCCGGAGGAACAUUACUUCAUUUGGCAGUAUACAUAUACAUCUGAAGACAAUAAACUUGAAGUUGAACUUGAUUUGAAUAGGAUCAUCGAGCAUCAUUUAAAAUCAGGAGGAACAGCAAAGGGGAAAUCUCCAUGAAGAAUACAAACUUGCAUUGCCUUAUUGCUCUAUUGCUUUAGAAGAAGAACAGUGGAAUUUCUGAGCAGUUCUCUGCCCAGUUUUUAACUCCAAAAUAACUUUAUUAAAAGAAAAGGCCACCUUGUCAGCCUUUGCUGUUUGUGGAAGUUCGUUGCAUGUGUGAUUGGCUUCUGUGGGCUCAUUGGAUCAAAAGGAUUUGUCACCAGGCUGUAUGUCUAAAUUUUUU